ensembl:lncRNA
GAAAGCAGUUGGCCUCUGCAAUUAAAAAGCAGUAACCGUUUCUGUUCAUACUCCAUAGAAUUGUGGUUUACUGAUGCUAUGCCACAUUCUGUGCAACUUCAUUGCUAACAGGGAUCAGGCACCCAGGAGCAUCUCUUUAACAUGGAGGGCUGUAGCCACACUCCAUGGAGAUGAGGGCAAGGAAAAGUUUCAUCUGGACUUUAGGAAAUCCUCUAAGAGAAGGCAGAUCACACAUGUUGUAACCACACUGAAAAUAUUUCCUGAAGAACAGCAGGAGAAGGAGUGGGAGAAAUGCAGGCAAGAACUUACAGUGGGGAAGGAAAGCUUUUACAACCGGUAUAAAAAUUUCACCCACUCGUAUACCAGUCGAAAUUACAAAGUGAUUAAAGAAGAAGUGCUCUUCAAGAAUAAACAUGGUUCAGAGAAUGUGGUGGUGUUAUUUUGGGUAAUAGAGUGAAGCCAACAAGUAGUAUGAGAUUGGUGGUGAACAGCUCCAUCCUGAGCCACAAGCAGGAUCACAAGAGCUCUGAUUAAGCACAAAAUACAAUGCUUUGAAGGAAAAAGAAAAGAAAAGAAAAGAAAAGAAAAGAAAAGAAAAGAAAAGAAAAGAAAAGAAAAGAAAAGAAAAGAAAAGAAAAGAAAAGAAAAGAAAAGAAAAGAAAAGAAAAGAAAAGA